rnacentral:rRNA from 1 species
GAGUUUGAUCAUGGCUCAGAUUGAACGCUGGCGGCAUGCCUUACACAUGCAAGUCGAACGGCAGCACGGGAGCUUGCUCCUGGUGGCGAGUGGCGAACGGGUGAGUAAUGCAUCGGAACGUAUCCUGGAGUGGGGGAUAACGUAGCGAAAGUUACGCUAAUACCGCAUAUUCUGUGAGCAGGAAAGCGGGGGACCUUCGGGCCUCGCGCUCUUGGAGCGGCCGAUGUCGGAUUAGCUAGUUGGUGAGGUAAAGGCUCACCAAGGCGACGAUCCGUAGCAGGUCUGAGAGGAUGAUCUGCCACACUGGAACUGAGACACGGUCCAGACUCCUACGGGAGGCAGCAGUGGGGAAUUUUGGACAAUGGGGGCAACCCUGAUCCAGCCAUGCCGCGUGAGUGAAGAAGGCCUCGGUUGUAAGUACGUC